rnacentral:rRNA from 1 species
CGCUGCCGGUUCACCGCCCGUCGGUGUCUAACUGGCAUGCACGUGCGGACGUCCUGCCGGUGGCCCGAGCCGGCGCGGGUCUCGCACCCGUCGUCCGGGGAAGGCCUAUCAUACCCGUCGCGGUGCUCUUAACCGAGUGUCUCGAUGGGCCGGCACGUUUACUUUGAACAAAUUAGAGUGCUAAAGCAGGCAGCAUCCGCCUGAAUACCGAGUGCAUGGAAUAAUGGAAUAGGACCUCGGUUCUAUUUUGUUGGUUUUCGGAAUCCCCGAGGUAAUGAUCAAUAGGGACAGACGGGGGCAUUCGUAUUGCGACGUUGAAGGUGAAAUUCUUGGAUCGUCCAGGACGGACCGAAGCGAAAGCAUUUGCCAAGAAUGUUUUCUCUGAUCAAGAACSAAAGUUAGAGGGUCCAAGGCGAUCACAUACCGCCCUAUUCUAACCAUAAACAAGCCASCCAGCAUCCGCGAGUUCCUCCGAUGAYUCGGCSGGCGGSUUCCSGGAAAGCAAAGCUUUUGGGUUCCGGGGGAAGUAUGGUUGCAAAGCUGAAACUUAAAGGAAUUGACGGAAGGGCACCACCAGGAGUGGAGCCUGCGGCUUAAUUUGACUCAACACGGGAAACCUCACCAGGCCCGGACACCGGGAGGAUUGACAGAUUGAGAGCUCUUUCUUGAUUCGGUGGGUGGUGGUGCAUGGCCGUUCUUAGUUGGUGGAGCGAUUUGUCUGGUUAAUUCCGAUAACGAACGAGACUCUAGCCUGCUAACUAGUCGCUUCCGGUAUCCUUGUGCUACCGGCGACUCCUGAUCUUCUUAGAGGGACAGGCGGCUUCUAGCCGCACGAGAUUGAGCAAUAACAGGUCUGUGAUGCCCUUAGAUGUUCUGGGCCGCACGCGCGCUACACUGAAGGAAUCAGCGUGUCCUCCCUGGCCGAAAGGUCCGGGUAACCCGCUGAACCUCCUUCGUGCUAGGGAUUGGGGCUUGCAAUUGUUCCCCAUGAACGAGGAAUUCCCAGUAAGCGCGAGUCAUAAGCUCGCGUUGAUUACGUCCCUGCCCUUUGUACACACCGCCCGUCGCUACUACCGAUUGAAUGAUUUAGUGAGGUCUUCGGACCGGUGGGCGAGGGGGUUCUCCUCCUCGAUUCCACCGGGAAGAUGCCCAAACUUGAUCAUUUAGAGGAAGUAAAAGUCGUAACAAGGU